CACGUAGGGCGCAAGCGUUGUCCGGAAUUAUUGGGCGUAAAGAGCUCGUAGGCGGUCUGUUACGUCUGCUGUGAAAACCCGGGGCUCAACCCCGAACUUGCGGUGGGUACGGGCAGACUAGAGUGUGGUAGGGGAGACUGGAAUUCCUGGUGUAGCGGUGAAAUGCGCAGAUAUCAGGAGGAACACCGAUGGCGAAGGCAGGUCUCUGGGCCACUACUGACGCUGAGAAGCGAAAGCGUGGGGAGCAAACAGG
rnacentral:rRNA from 1 species